CGAAGCAACGCGAAGAACUUACCAGGCCUUGACAUGCAGAGAACUUUCCAGAGAUGGAUUGGUGCCUUCGGGAACUCUGACACAGGUGCUGCAUGGCUGUCGUCAGCUCGUGUCGUGAGAUGUUGGGUUAAGUCCCGUAACGAGCGCAACCCUGUCCUUAGUUACCAGCACGUUAUGGUGGGCACUCUAAGGAGACUGCCGGUGACAAACCGGAGGAAGGUGGGGAUGACGUCAAGUCAUCAUGACCCUUACGGCCUGGGCUACACACGUGCUACAAUGGUCGGUACAAAGGGUUGCCAAGCCGCGAGGUGGAGCUAAUCCCAUAAAACCGAUCGUAGUCCGGAUCGCAGUCUGCAACUCGACUGCGUGAAGUCGGAAUCGCUAGUAAUCGUGAAUCAGAAUGUCACGGUGAAUACGUUCCCGGGCCUU
rnacentral:rRNA from 1 species